CUUGUCAACUACCUACUUAGUCAGUGCUGUGCGGGGCAGUGAACUAGUCCACCUGGAGCCGAAGCGGGAUUUAUGCUUGGCACUCACCAACUUUCACUGUUCCUGUUUGAGGCUUUUCCACGAACAGGAUGGAUGGCUGAGAAUUGGCGUUCUGCUUGUCUUGAUCCUCUGUGGCAGGGCCCGACUACUCAAACCUGAAAGGAAAGCGUGAUCUGGAUGAUGCAAGAUGAAAGGGGUGACAAUGAAGUGCUGACUGCAACCUCCUUGGAUCCCCCAAACCCUUUUCUGAUAAUAGGGAGAAAGAAACUAGAAGUUGGCUUGGAUGGAAAAUCAGUAGAGCUUCAACUAUGAAAGCAUCUCUAAAAAGAUGUCUUAUUUAAAAAACAAUGAGCCCUCGCUGGUUUGGCUCAGUGUAUAGAGCAUUGGCCUAUGGACUGAAGUUCGAUUCCAGUCAAAAGCACAUGCCCGGGGUUGCGGGCUUGAUCCCCAGUAGGGGUCGUGCAGGAG